UAACCUUUCUGUCCUGGUCCUCUGUUUCAGGGUACAAUGAUGGGGGCAUUUGGAUAUAAUUAGGAUACCAUUGAGAAAUCCCAUUUGAACUUCAAAGCUGGAAUUUCAAUUUGGCAACUGUAUGGAGGAUGGAUUGGAGAAGAGAGAGACUUGAGCCUCCUGGUUGUAGCAUCUUCUCCCUGGAGUCUCAGGGAUCCAAUCAUUAUGACAAAGAAUAAAAAAGGAGAAGGCAAAACAGUUCAAGAAAACUGGAAAACAUAUUUUUUAAAAUCUGAUAUAUGAAAUUUUCCAAAAUCAUAGUCACUUCACCUCAACAAGGAAGCAAGGGGAUGCAUCUUUUCUUAUCUUUUGGGGCCUUGGUUAGUUAUAAUGAUUUUGUAGCAUUUACUUUUGUUUUUUUGUUCUGUUUACUUGUAUUCUAUUGUGUUUGUCGUGCAACACAAAUAUUGUUAAGGUAACAUUUUCUUGUUUCAACUUAUUUCUUUUUGCCUCUGCAUUUGCCAUAUUCAUCAUUUCUUAAAGUAGAGUAAUAUUCCAUUACUUUUAUGUCAUAGUUUGGCUAGCCAUGGCCCCAAUUAAUGAACAUCUACUUUGUCUCCAAUUCUUUGCUAUAAUACAUGUUACCAAUGAUGAUUUGUGUGUAAGAAAUGAUGCAGAAGAUGUCAAUAAACACAUGAAUGGCUAGCA
rnacentral:lncRNA from 1 species